rnacentral:rRNA from 1 species
GGUGAACGCUGGCGGCGUGCCUAACACAUGCAAGUCGAGCGGUGGCAGUUUGAAGCUUCGGUGGAAAGCUGCAUAGCGGCGGACGGGUGAGGAAAACGUAGGAACGUGCCCCUUGGAGUUGGAUAGCCACGGGAAACUGUGGGUAAACCGACAUAGACUCGAGAGAGUAAAGGCCGAAAGGCGCCAAGGGAGCGGCCUGCGGCCCAUCAGGUAGUUGGUAGUGUAAAGGACUACCAAGCCGACGACGGGUAGCCGGUCUGAGAGGAUGGCCGGCCACAAGGGCACUGAGAGACGGGCCCUACUCCUACGGGAGGCAGCAGUGGGGGAUUUUGGACAAUGGGCGAAAGCCUGAUCCAGCGACGCCGCGUGGAGGACGAAGCCCUUCGGGGUGUAAACUCCUUUUCUCAGGGGAAAAAGGAUGAUGGUACCUGAGGAAUAAGCCCCGGCUAACUACGUG